GAUGAACGCUGGCGGCGUGCCUAAUACAUGCAAGUCGAGCGAACAGACGAGGAGCUUGCUCCUCUGACGUUAGCGGCGGACGGGUGAGUAACACGUGGAUAACCUACCUAUAAGACUGGGAUAACUUCGGGAAACCGGAGCUAAUACCGGAUAAUAUAUUGAACCGCAUGGUUCAAUAGUGAAAGACGGUUUUGCUGUCACUGAUAGAUGGAUCCGCGCCGCAUUAGCUAGUUGGUAAGGUAACGGCUUACCAAGGCAACGAUGCGUAGCCGACCUGAGAGGGUGAUCGGCCACACUGGAACUGAGACACGGUCCAGACUCCUACGGGAGGCAGCAGUAGGGAAUCUUCCGCAAUGGGCGAAAGCCUGACGGAGCAACGCCGCGUGAGUGAUGAAGGUCUUCGGAUCGUAAAACUCUGUUAUUAGGGAAGAACAAAUGUGUAAGUAACUAUGCACGUCUUGACGGUACCUGAUCAGAAAGCCACGGCUAACUACGUG
rnacentral:rRNA from 1 species